GGGGAUUUAGCUCAGUGGAAGAGCGCCUGCCUAGCAAGCACAAGGCCCUGGGUUCGGUCCCCAGCUUCG
rnacentral:tRNA from 1 species